CGUACCUACGGGAGGCAGCAGUAGGGAAUCUUCCACAAUGGGCGAAAGCCUGAUGGAGCAACGCCGCGUGGGUGAAGAAGGUCUUCGGAUCGUAAAACCCUGUUGUUAGAGAAGAAAGUGCGUGAGAGUAACUGUUCAUGUUUCGACGGUAUCUAACCAGAAAGCCAUGGCUAACUACGUGCCAGCAGCCGCGGUAAUACGUAGGUGGCAAGCGUUAUCCGGAUUUAUUGGGCGUAAAGGGUGCGUAGACGGGAUAACAAGUUGGUUGUGAAACCCCUCGGCUCAACUGAGGAACUGCAACCAAA
rnacentral:rRNA from 1 species